GACGAACGCUGGCGGCGUGCCUAAUACAUGCAAGUAGAACGCACAGUUUAUACCGUAGCUUGCUACACCAUAGACUGUGAGUUGCGAACGGGUGAGUAACGCGUAGGUAACCUGCCUGGUAGCGGGGGAUAACUAUUGGAAACGAUAGCUAAUACCGCAUAAUAUUGAUUAUUGCAUGAUAAUUGAUUGAAAGAUGCUAUUGCAUCACUACCAGAUGGACCUGCGUUGUAUUAGCUAGUAGGUGAGGUAACGGCUCACCUAGGCGACGAUACAUAGCCGAACUGAGAGGGUGAUCGGCCACACUGGGACUGAGACACGGCCCAGACUCCUACGGGAGGCAGCAGUAGGGAAUCUUCGGCAAUGGACGAAAGUCUGACCGAGCAACGCCGCGUGAGUGAAGAAGGUUUUCGGAUCGUAAAGCUCUGUUGUAAGAGAAGAACGGGUGUGAGAGUGGAAAGUUCACACUGUGACGGUAUCUUACCAGAAAGGGACGGCUAACUACGUG
rnacentral:rRNA from 1 species